AGCGAACGCUGGCGGCAGGCCUAACACAUGCAAGUCGAACGAACCUUUCGGGGUUAGUGGCGGACGGGUGAGUAACACGUGGGAACGUGCCUUUAGGUUCGGAAUAACUCAGGGAAACUUGUGCUAAUACCGAAUGUGCCCUUCGGGGGAAAGAUUAAUCGCCUUUAGAGCGGCCCGCGUCUGAUUAGCUAGUUGGUUGAGGUAAUGGCUCACCAAGGCGACGAUCAGUAGCUGGUCUGAGAGGAUGAUCAGCCACAUUUGGACUGAGACACGGCCCAAACUCCUACGGGAUGCAGCAGUGGGGAAUCUUGCGCAAUGGGCGAAAGCCUGACGCAGCCAUGCCGCGUGAAUGAUGAAGGUCUUAGGAUUGUAAAAUUCUUUCACCGGGGACGAUAAUGACGGUACCCGGAGAAGAAGCCCCGGCUAACUUCGUG
rnacentral:rRNA from 1 species